ACCGCAAAACCCAAAGACCCACUUAGGUGUCCCCUCUCUCCGCAGAAGAGAGAGCUUUUCCCUUUCUCUCUGUUAAACCUCUUCUCUUAAACUCACUUCUUGCGUGUCCUCGUCCUCGAUUUCCUUGGCGUAAGACGACGAACCUCAGGCAUUUACCCCAGACAACGAAGGUGCUUCAUAAGGUCAUGCAGCUGGGUCAACAUAGGACUGUGUAGCCAAGAGCUACAGGAUGGAUUGCUGAGGCCAGGGAGAUUGAAAGGAAGUCACAGCCCAAUCUCAGAGGGAUCCACGGAGCCAGCGAAAGCUAAGGCGGGACUUACCCAACAGAGGGUCCUGGCCCAGUCACCCAGUGGCACAACCCAACUGGGAGAUCUGAGCAUCUACCAACUGUGGCCACCAGUGAGAUGGUGUCAUUGUCUGGGGUAAAUACCGGGGGUUUGUUGUCUCAUGCCAAGGAAAUCGAGUUUGCGGACACAAGAAUUGGGUUUAGGAGCAGAGGUUUAAUAGGCAAAAGAAAGAGAAAGGGUAACAGUAGGAGAGAGAGGAGUGCGCCAGUGGGACUUCUGACCCACGAUGGAGUGCAUUGGAUUUUAUAGACAGGCUUGAGGAGGCAGUGUCUGAUUGACACAGGGCCCACAGAUUGGUUGGACCAGGUGUGAGUUUUACAUAGCGUGUGGGGAAGCUGGCCACGCCACCCUAAUCUUAUUAUGCAAAUAGGCUUUCCACUUGGCCGGCACCAUGUUGUCUGCUGCCUAAUGCACAUGUGGUUGGAAAGGGAAAGGGAAGAUGCAGCUGCCAUUUUGAACAUGCCUAGUCCCAGGUAGCCUUUUCCUAUUGACACAGCUGCCGCAUUCACCCGUGCAAGCUUCUGUGUCUGCAGCUCAAUUUUACAGGCUGCUGUUUGUUAGAAAAGAAAUGAUUCAGGGGCUGCUUUUCAUUAAAAGGAAACCUUACUGAGGACUUCCUUACCCUCACUGUCUGCCUAAAUAAUUUCUUCUUUACUCCUAUAUCACCGGCAUCAGAGGCCAGCAGAAGUCUCAGUGAUCGGGCAGGACAAAGGACAUUUCUGCAGAGAAUACUGAAGGUCCAGGAGACAGCACAGUGGGACAUAUGUGGGCCCCUGCCCCAUCAUUAGGAGGAAGUGUAGGCUUUUCUGAGGACCUGGAUGCCAUACCAUCUUGAGACAGAGAAUGAGGAACCAACCCUUGACAAGAGAGAGAUGGCCCUGGUAGAGAAUUUGAACCUUGAAUUGGAUUGAAUAUUUAUCCAAAAGAAAUUGAACCAGCACUAGAGAGACUGUUUUGAACUAGAAGUAACCAAGUUACCUUAACUGGAAGUUAGGAUUUUUCCACCCCUGACAUCAGUGGGACAAGGGCACAUGAGCAAGAUAUUUACGGACAAAGAAGAACGUUCAUGUUUUGUACACCUGCUUUGUAGUAUGUUGCAGAUACCGUUGGUUCCCCUGAUUUCAGGUGUUCUCGUUCUUUCUGUACAGUCACUUGCUCAGGGCAAAUGGUCCUCUCCUGCAUGACUCAGAAGCACAUACUGAUUAUUCUAAACUGGUCUUCAUGCCCCGUUCCCUUGUCAGUGAUGUAGUUAGGCAAAGGAUUAUGUAACAAUUCUGGCUAUGAGACAUUGAAACUUCUACUGUGGGGCAUCUGGGAAGAUUUUUCUCAUUGAAAAGAAGAGACGCAGGGUGUGGAGACUCAUGCCUGUAAUCCGAGCCCUUGGGAGGCCCAGGAGGGAGGGUCACCUGAGUCCAAGAGCUCAAGGCCAGUUCGAGCAACAUACCAAGGCUGCAAUAAACAAGCAAACAAACAAACAAACAUUAGCUGGGCACGGUAGUGCACACCUGUAGUCCCAGCUACUCAGGAGGCUGAAAUGGGAGGAUUGCUUGAGCCCAGGAGUUUGAGGCUGCAGUGAGCUAUGAUUGCACCACUGCACUUCAGCCUGGGCAACAGAGCGAGAUCCUGUCUCUAUAAAAAAAUUUUAAAAAAAGGAAGAAAAGAAAAGAAGAGACACACGUGGAAGAAACAGUCUCUAUUCUGAUGCAAGUAAUGACUGGAACUGUGGCAGACAGCUUGGAACCAUGAGAGGAGUUAACUGAGGGCUAUCAGGGAAACUAGAAGAAGCCUGGGUCCUUGAGGAGGCAGACUACUAAAUGGACCAUCGUCCCUUCACCCUUUUUGUUAUGUGAGAUAAUAAACUCUCUAAUUUAAAUCUACUUGAGAUGAAUAUCUGAUACUUGUAGCCAAAAUCAUCCUUAAUGGGACAGAGUGUGGGUAAAUUAUCAACCUUGCUAGCCUUGCCUCAUAAUUUUUGAAUUUAUUUUUAUCUUUUAAUUUUGUUUAUUUUUUAUUUUUAAAGUAGAGACAGGAUCUCAUUAUGUUGCUCAGGCUGGUCUCGAAUCCCUGGCCUCAAGGGAUCCUCCUGCCUCAGCCUCCUAAAGUGCUGAGAUUACAGGUAUGAGCCCCUAUGCCAGGCCAUUGCUUUGCCAUUGUAUCCAUGUGAUUGCAAAAAAGAAAAUCGUGCUAAUAGUCAUUAGCUUUGAAAGACACUUGGAAUUUCUUCCUUCAAGCGAGCUUUAUUCCCAAACUGUUGAACCCUCUGGGUUUGACAGCAGGAUCUACUUCACAUGGUAGCAUCUCCUUCUAUUUGCCUUCAAGACAUUUCCUAAGGGAAGAGAUGAAGACACACUUGUAACGUGAACAAAAUAAUCCUUUUUCCUUUUAAAAAUGUAUGAUUAAAAUGUAAAAUAUAUAUAUAUAUUCUUAAAUGUAAAAUAUAUAUAUAUAUCUUCUAGAGUUGCCUGGAAAGUGAGCUGAGAGCAGUUAAACAUCAAACCCACUGCUGCUUUCCAGCUUUAACCAGAAUCACCAUUGUCUUUCCCUAUGAAAGAAAGGAAAUCUUAGAACUUAAAAGGAUUUCAAGAAGAACUGAAUUUUAACCACUGAGAUGACCAGAGAUGUAAGGCUCACACUGACUGAAGCAGUAUAAUUUGGCUGUCUUUUUAACAUUCAGAAUUCUCUCUGACUCUCCAAAAUUGCAUCUACUUUGAUGAGCUUAUUUUUUUCCUCAACCAAAUUACAUUUCUUGGAGUUCACCUGAUACAUCAUGCCUACUUACUUUUUUUUUUAGAUGGAGUCUUGCUCUGUCACCCAGGCUGGAGUGCAGUGGUGCAAUCUCGGCUCAUUGCAACCUCUGCCUCCCAGGUUCAAGUGAUUCUCCUGCCUCAGCCCCCCAAGUAGCUGGGAUUACAGGUGCGUGCCACCACGCCCAGCUAAUUUUUGUAUUUUUAGUAGAGACAGGGUUUCGCCAUGUUGGUCAGGCUGGUCUCGAACUCCUGACCUCAAGUGACCCACCUGCCUUGGCCUCCCAAAGCGCUGGGAUUACAGGGGUAAGCCACCAUGUCCAGCCCUGCCUACUUACUUUGAACAAAUUAUUUCAGGCUAAUUUACUAGCUGGAGAGAAAGAGGGAGGGAAGCAGGGAGGAAGCAAAGAUAGAGGGAGAGAAAGAGAGGGAGACAGAGAGGAAGAGGGAGAGGGAGAGGAGAGAGAGAGAAAGAAUGAAUUGUGUUCUCCCAAAAUUAGUAUGUUGAAGUCUUAAUAUCCCAGUACCUCAGACUAUGACUGUAUCUGUAGAUAGGGCUUUUGAAAAGGUGAUUAUGUUUAAAUGAGGCCAUUGGGGUGGGCCCUAAUCCAGUCCAACUGUUGUCAUUGUAAGAAGAAGAGAUUAGGACACAGAGAUACCAGGCAUGUGCGUGCCCAGACAGACAACUAUGUGAAGAGACAACAAUAGGUCAGCCAUCUGCAAGCUGAGGAGAGAGGCCUCAGAGGAAACCAACCCUGCCGGCACCUUGAUCUUGGAGUUCCAGCCUCCAGAACUGUGAGAAAAUGUAUUCCUGUUGUUGAAGCCAUUUCUGUUGUUCUGUGGCAUUUUGUUAUGGCAGCCCUAGCAAACUAAUAUGAUAAUUAACUCUUCCAAGUGCUGUUUCCAUUACAAAGUAUCCCAGAAUUUUAUAUUGGUGAAUCUGUGUUCCUCAGGCCAUGUCUUCCCUGUUGGAAAUGCUGUUAUUAUGUCCCAAGGUGACUUCAAGGAGUGGGUUAGAGGCUGAGACAGAGGGUGUGAGAUCGUCACUACUGUAACCUUGCUUUGUUCAGUAUGAACAUGCUCAGAUAUUCUCUGUUUUGUAUUGGGAGAUCGGGAAAGGAUUUAUUGAAAAAAUGUUUCCAUUAGCAAAUGAAGUUUGAAGGCAACUACCGUCUACAAGAGCAAACAAAUGCAUAAAAUUCAAAUAUUAUUUUGUCCCAACCUCAGUGUCAUGAGGGUCUCUUAUACAGAAUAGUAGAUGAGAAUAAAAUUUGAAUUGAUAAUACUGGAAUAGAGUAGUCAUUAUGCAAUGUAACAAACCUCAAAUAUUCAGUGGUUUAACACUAUAGAUGUUUAUUUACCACUCAUUCAAUGUAUGUGUUCCUUGUUAGCAGUAGUUUUCCUUGUAGUCAUUCAGGAAUCCAGGCAUAUUAGUUAUCUAUUUCUGUGUACCCCAUAAAAACCAUUUAUUAUUGCACACUUUCAGAGGGUCAGUAAUUUGGGAGUGGCUUAGCUGGGGUGUUCUGACCAGAGUCUCUCUUGAGGUUGUAGUCAAGAUGUUGGCUAGGGUUGCCAUCAUCUGAAAGCUUGACUGGGACUGUAUCCACUUUCAAGAUGGCGCACUUACUUGGCUGUUGGCAGGAAGCCUCAAUGACUUAUCAUGUGGUCUUCUCCACAGUGCUGCUUGAGCAUCCACACAACAUGGCGCUAGCUUCCCCCAGAGUGAGUAAUCCAGAAUGAAGAAGACAGAAACCACAAUAUCCUUUAUGAACUGGCCUUAUAAGUAAUAUUUUGUCAUUUCCAUAAAGUCCUAUUGGUUACACAAGACUGCCGUAUUCAAUAUAAGAGUGACAACACAUGGGGAUAAAUACUUGGAGGUGUAAAUCAUUGGGAACCAUCCUGGAAGUUGCCUACAAUACUAGGAUCUAUGGCUACAAUUCCCUGGGUCUUGGCUUCAAGACAGAGAAAAGGGAAAGAACAUGAAACAGCCCCAUGUGGUUUUUGUUUUUUUUUUAAUGGACAAGAGUAAGAAAUGGUGAACAUUUCUUCUACUCAUAUUCUACAGUUAGAAUUUGGUCACAUAAUGUAUCUAACUAUGAAGGUAGCUAGGUAAUAUCAUCUCUUGUUGGGAGGGUAGCUGGGAAUACCUCUAUACAAUGGAAGGAAGAGCAUGAACUUUUGGUGGAGAGAUAAUGCUCUCUGCCAUGAUAAAAUGAAAAAAAUAACAUAUGCAGAAUGGUCAACAUAACAGCAUGAAGCAAAUGCACAAUGAAUGAUAAUCAUAAUAUAGUGCUCUUUUGAUAAUCUAGUGCAUACCCAGAACCUGGGAGGUAUUUGGUUUUAAUACAUGUUUGUUGUAUGAAUACGUGAGUUAAGGUAAUGGAUGCAAAAAUGGUAUAAAUAGGAGGAAUUAUAAUUGAUAUUUCUUGAGUUAGCAUGUUUCAUUGGCUAUCUUUAUGGAGGUCCAGACCCUCCUCCGAAGGUGGAUAUUACUGUUCCGAUUUCAAUUGGUCAAAUAGAGACCAAGAGACUUUAGGCAACUUGUUUUAGAUUUGGCACUGAAUGGCGGGAAAGUGCAGAUUUUCUGAGUACUAUGUCUGGGCUCUUUGCUAUAAGCACUAUUGAUUUGAAUGGAUAAGAACAGAAAAGUCCUUUGCUCAGAGGAGAAUCAGGGCCACUGUAUCAGUCAGGGUCCAAUCAAGAGGCAGAAACUAUACCAGUUAUUUAAUUUCAUUUAUUUAUUUAUUAUUAUUUUUUAGAGAUGUGGUCUUGCUGUGUUGCUCAGGCUGUUCUCGAACUCCUGGGCUCAAGCAAUCCACCUGCCUUGACCUCCCAAACUGCUGGGAUUACAGGUGUGAGCCACUGUGCCUGGCCCCGUACCAGUUAUUUUAACAGAGAGAAUUUAGUAUGGCCCAGGCGCAGUGGUUCAAGCCUGUAAUCCCAGCACUUUGUGAGGCUGAGCAGGGAGGAUCACUUGGACCCAGGAGUUUGAGACCAGCCUGGGCAACAUAUUGAGAGUCCACUUAAGAAAAAGAAUUUAAUAUAAAGAACUUUUUUCUUUUCUUUUUUUUUUUUUUGAGAUAGAUGGAGUCUCACUCUGUUGCCCAGGCUGGAGUGCUGUGGCGUGAUCCCAGCUCACCGCAACAUACGCCUCCUGGAAUCAAGCACCUCUCCCGCCUCAGCCUCCGGAGCAGCUGGGAUUACAGGCACUCGCUAACACGCCUGGCUAAUUUUUGUAUUUUAGUAGAGGCAGGGUUUCACCAUGUUGACCAGGCUGGUCUCAAACUGCUGACCUCAAGUGAUCCCCUGUCCUCGGGCUCCCAAAGUGCUGGGAUUACAGGCAUGAGCCACCACGCCUGGCCGAGAAUUGUUAACUAGGAAUCAAGUUGAUAACCAGGCAACUAAAAAGGAAAAAAAAA
rnacentral:lncRNA from 10 species